CUCCCUCCGCGCGCGGCCGGGCGAGGGGCGGGGGCCGGGGGCGGUAUCUUAGGCGGAGGCUUCUUGGUAGCAGGUGCCGGCGGCGGAGCCCGGCAGGCGGCCCUUUCACUCUUUCCAAUCGGCGGGAAUCCUCCCUAGCCCACCUCCUCCACUCGGAUCCACGCUUUGGGAGAGUGGGGUUGAUCCCCAAAGUGACCUCUCCCGCCCUCCACAGAGAGAGGAAGGAGAAACGAAGACUCCUCUUUCCCCUACCUGGUAGGUGGGUGGGGAUACUGAGGCAGCGGUGGGCAGAAAGGCUGGGGGAGGAAGGAUCCAAGUGCUCUGUUCCAGACUGACACAGAAGAAAGGGCUCGGAGUUCCAGAAGUUCGUGGUGAUCUGUAAUGGCAUAUCCGGCCUGGAGCGCCUCAUCCUCCCUCCAGAGGCGCAUUAAAAACUUGUUCGGCCCACUGGAGCCUCCCCAGUGUCCGGUGGUGACUGUAUCUGGGACACACGCGUGACGGUGUUGGAACAGGCAGCCCCAGAGGUGAAGAUGUGAGCCACACGUUAAGUUGGGGCAAGAGCUGGGCAGGAACCCAGGUGACUGUUUCUCGGUUGCCGGCUUUUUUCAAUACAUGGUGACGUUUUGUCUGACCCUGCUCCCCCCGGCCCCCCCCACCUUCCUCUAUUAUUUAUCUUAAUGAAAGGUCCAGAUUCGGGAACUUCUGUCUUUACAGUCACAGAGUUGGUUAGAACACAAAGAAACGAAAAAUUCUGACAGACGAGGCCAGAGGCAAAGCAAGCUCUCAAUCUUUACUCCAAAGAAUCUUCUGGAAACGACAGGACCCAUGGGGAACACCCACCUGGUUUUCUCCUGGUUGGUGUAAAUCUUCACCCGGUUGGCAGUAAAGCAGAAUCUGAAAUUUAGUAGAAAAGACCACAUUUCAGAAAGAAUAAGGGGAAAAAAUCAUAUUAAAAAAACAGCACUUUGAAAAUAUUAGUUAGCUCAUUGCACACUUAGUACUGUUGCCCUGCUAUACAGGUAUUAUGUUGAACCCUAAAAUAUUUGAGCUGGACAAGACCUCAAGUCAUCACCCAGUCUGAGCGAUGCAGUUUCAUCCAGGUGCCAGGAAAAUUGUGCUUUAUUAAUAGCCAUUCAUUUCAUUGGACAAUUUGAGACCAUCUCAUCUUACUGAAGGGAACUGAGAAAGCCUCCUUUAUCGAGUAGGUGAUAAUAGAUCAUU